CGAAGGGAACAAGAAACAGUAAGUCGAGCGGUAACACAGGGAGCUNGCUCCUGAGGAGACGAGCGGCGGACGGGAGAGUAAUGCCUAGGUAUCUGCCCAGUCGAGGGGGAUAACAGUUGGAAACGACUGCUAAUACCGCAUACGCCCUACGGGGGAAAGGAGGGGACCUUCGGGCCUUCCGCGAUUGGAUGAACCUAGGUGGGAUUAGCUAGUUGGUGAGGUAAUGGCUCACCGAAGGCGACGAUCGCCUAGCUGGUGUGAGAGGAUGAUCAGCCACACUGGAACUGAGACACGGUUCAGACUCCCGGGUGAGUAAUGCCUAGGAAAUUGCCCUGAUGUGGGGGAUAACCAUUGGAAACGAUGGCUAAUACCGCAUGAUGCCUACGGGCCAAAGAGGGGGACCUUCGGGCCUCUCGCGUCAGGAUAUGCCUAGGUGGGAUUAGCUAGUUGGUGAGGUAAUGGCUCACCAAGGCGACGAUCCCUAGCUGGUCUGAGAGGAUGAUCAGCCACACUGGAACUGAGACACGGUCCAGACUCCUACGGGAGGCAGCAGUGGGGAAUAUUGCACAAUGGGCGCAAGCCUGAUGCAGCCAUGCCGCGUGUGUGAAGAAGGACUUCGGGUUGUAAAGCACCUUUUUAGUCGUGAGGAAGGUAGUGUAGUUAAUAGCUGCAUUAUUUGACGUUAGCGACAGAAUAAGCACCGGCUAACUCGGUGGCAGCAAGCGGGGUAAGACGGAGGGUGGGAGCGUUAUUUGGAAUUAGUGGGCGUAAAGGGCAUG
rnacentral:rRNA from 1 species